UCCGUAGGUGAACCUGCGGAAGGAUCAUUACCGAGUUCUGGGUCCAACCUCCCACCCGUGUUUAUUUUACCUUGUUGCUUCGGCGGGCCCGCCUUAACUGGCCGCCCUCACGCCCCCGGGCCCGCGCCCGCCGAAGACACCCUCGAACUCUGUCUGAAGAUUGAAGUCUGAGUGAAAAUAUAAAUUAUUUAAAACUUUCAACAACGGAUCUCUUGGUUCCGGCAUCGAUGAAGAACGCAGCGAAAUGCGAUACGUAAUGUGAAUUGCAAAUUCAGUGAAUCAUCGAGUCUUUGAACGCACAUUGCGCCCUGGUAUUCCGGGGCAUGCCUGUCCGAGCGUCAUUGCUGCCCUCAAGCCCGGCUUGUGUGUUGGGCCCCGUCCUCCGAUUUCCGGGACGGGCCCGAAAGGCAGCGGCGGCACCGCGUCCGGUCCUCGAGCGUAUGGGGCUUUGUCACCCGCUCUGUAGGCCCGGCCGGCGCUUGCCGAUCAACCCAAAUUUAUCCAGGUUGACCUCGGAUCAGGUAGGGAUACCCGCUGAACUUAAGCAUAUCAAUAAGCGGAGGAAGAAACCAACAGGGAUUGCCCC
rnacentral:misc_RNA from 1 species